rnacentral:rRNA from 1 species
GACGAACGCUGGCGGCGUGGAUUAGGCAUGCAAGUCGAACGGUAUCAUCCUUUCGGGGGUGAGAGAGUGGCGAACUGGUGAGUAACACGUAGGUUAUCUACCCUCAAGACGGGGACAACCCAGGGAAACUUGGGCUAAUACCGGAUGUGAGCAACUUUUAGUUGUUUGAAAGGUGGCGUAAGCUGUCGCUUGGGGAUGAGCCUGCGUCCUAUUAGUUAGUUGGUGAGGUAACGGCUCACCUAGGCAAUGAUAGGUAGGCGGCCUUAACGGGUGGUCGCCCACACUGGGAUUGAGAUACGGCCCAGACUCCUACGGGAGGCAGCAGUCGAGAAUAGUCUACAAUGGUCGGAAGACUGAUAGUGCGACGCCGCGUGAACGAUGAAUCCCCUCGGGGUGUAAAGUUCUUUUAUAUGUGAGCAGUGCUUCUUAUAUUAACAGUAUGGGGAGAGAGAUAUUAGCAUAUGAAUAAGCAACGGCUAACUCCGUGCCAGCAGCCGCGGUAAACUCGU